rnacentral:rRNA from 1 species
CCUACGGGGCGCUGCAGUGAGGAAUAUUGGUCAAUGGACGAGAGUCUGAACCAGCCAAGUAGCGUGAAGGAUGACUGCCCUAUGGGUUGUAAACUUCUUUUAUAAGGGAAUAAAACGUUCCACGUGUGGGAUUUUGUAUGUACCAUAUGAAUAAGUAUCGGCUAACUCCGUGCCAGCAGCCGCGGUAAUACGGAGGAUCCGCGCGUUAUCCGGAUUUAUUGGGUUUAAAGGGAGCGUAGGUGGAUUGUUAAGUCAGUUGUGAAAGUUUGCGGCUCAACCGUAAAAUUGCAUUUGAAACUGGCAGUCUUGAGUACAUUUGAGGUGGGCGGAAUUCGUGGUGUAGCGGUGAAAUGCUUAGAUAUCACGAAGAACUCCGAUUGCGAAGGCAGUUCACUGGACUGUAACUGACACUGAUGCUCGAAAGUGUGGGUAUCAAACAGGAUUAGAUACCCCAGUAGUC